ensembl:snRNA U6 U6 spliceosomal RNA
GUGCUUGCUUCAGCAGCUUAUAUACUAAAAUUGGAACAAUACAGAAAGAUUAGCAUGGCCCCUGCAUGAGGAUAGGACACAAGAUGUAAGACACAGGUCUCAGAAUU